UGAGAGUUUGAUCCUGGCUCAGAUUGAACGCUGGCGGCAUGCCUUACACAUGCAAGUCGAACGGCAGCGCGGACUUCGGUCUGGCGGCGAGUGGCGAACGGGUGAGUAAUACAUCGGAACGUACCCUGUUGUGGGGGAUAACUAGUCGAAAGAUUAGCUAAUACCGCAUACGACCUGAGGGUGAAAGCGGGGGACCGAAAGGCCUCGCGCAGCAGGAGCGGCCGAUGUCUGAUUAGCUAGUUGGUGGGGUAAAGGCCCACCAAGGCGACGAUCAGUAGCUGGUCUGAGAGGACGAUCAGCCACACUGGGACUGAGACACGGCCCAGACUCCUACGGGAGGCAGCAGUGGGGAAUUUUGGACAAUGGGGGCAACCCUGAUCCAGCAAUGCCGCGUGUGUGAAGAAGGCCUUCGGGUUGUAAAGCGCUUUUGUCCGGAAAGAAAUUGCUCUGGCUAAUACCUGGGGUAGAUGACGGUACCGGAAGAAUAAGCACCGGCUGACUACGUGCCAGCAGCCGCGGUAAUACGUAGGGUGCGAGCGUUAAUCGGAAUUACUGGGCGUAAAGCGUGCGCAGGCGGUUUUGUAAGACAGGCGUGAAAUCCCCGGGCUCAACCUGGGAAUUGCGCUUGUGACUGCAAGGCUAGAGUGCGUCAGAGGGGGGUAGAAUUCCACGUGUAGCAGUGAAAUGCGUAGAGAUGUGGAGGGAUACCGAUGGCGAAGGCAGCCCCCUGGGACGUGACUGACG
rnacentral:rRNA from 1 species